CUGACAGCCUUGAAGACUCAAGCCCUCAAUUUAUUUAUCCGCAGAACAAAUAAAGUGGGAAGAGUGGCAAAGCCCUGCUUCCUGCAUUGCAUUUCCUCUGCCUGUCACACCCCUGACCUGGGGAGACCUUCUCUGAACCAGCGAGAUGGUUGUGCAAUCUUCAGACUCAUUCAAACCUGAUUUCUU
ensembl:misc_RNA